GGUCUCGGCCGAGAGCACCUCACAUCCAUCCAUCCAUUUCGAUUUCCAUCUUGCAAGUUCCAAGUAUCUACAAGGUGUUCGGGUCACGUAUAAGGAAGCUUGAAGCAAGCGGAAGUUGAAGGACCUCGUUUCUUUUCUUUUAUCCACGCCAUUUUCGACUAGAUUCUUCCCUAGCCCCGAGCUAGAGUAUUCGAAUAUGUUGAUUAUUGAGGCCCGAUCUACGAUGUGGUCGUUGCACAGCUUUCGGACAUUUGGAGUGCUUGAUUUAGCGACGCACUGACUGGAAUUAAAGAUCUGGCACGGUAUGGCAUGUUUUCCGCUGCAUAAGUCACCAGGGUCAUCCAGGGUUCGGGGAAUGUGACUCUUUCCUGGACAAGUCACAGUCCUUGAAUCAUGUUUAUGUUAUGUUUGGGUUUGUAAUGUUUAGACAAGUUUAUGGUUGUUGGGUGUUAAC
rnacentral:lncRNA from 1 species